rnacentral:rRNA from 1 species
CCUACGGGAGGCUGCAGUAGGGAAUAUUGCUCAAUGGGGGAAACCCUGAAGCAGCAACGCCGCGUGGAGGAUGAAGGUUUUCGGAUUGUUAACUCCUUUUGUUAGAGAAGAUAAUGACGGUAUCUAACGAAUAAGCACCGGCUAACUCCGUGCCAGCAGCCGCGGUAAUACGGAGGGUGCAAGCGUUACUCGGAAUCACUGGGCGUAAAGAGCGCGUAGGCGGGAUAGCAAGUCAGAUGUGAAAUCCUAUGGCUUAACCAUAGAACUGCAUUUGAAACUGUUAUUCUAGAGUAUGGGAGAGGUAGGUGGAAUUCUUGGUGUAGGGGUAAAAUCCGUAGAGAUCAAGAGGAAUACUCAUUGCGAAGGCGACCUGCUAGAACAUAACUGACGCUGAUGCGCGAAAGCGUGGGGAGCAAACAGGAUUAGAUACCCGAGUAGUC